UGUUCCUGACCUGGGGAAAGUGGCAUCAGGUUGGUGGUGCUCAUCUCAUAAUUAUCCAGACCAAAACAACCCCUGCCUACCCUCACUUGGCUUUCCAUAUGCCCAUCCCUGGUUCAUGCUUUGGACACAUGG
rnacentral:snoRNA from 1 species